UACGUAGGGGGCGAGCGUUGUCCGGAUUUAUUGGGCGUAAAGAGCUCGUAGGCGGUCUGUUGCGUCCGCUGUGAAAACCCGGGGCUUAACCCUGGGCUGGCAGUGGAUACGGACAGACUAGAGGUAGGUAGGGGAGAAUGGAAUUCCCGGUGUAGCGGUGAAAUGCGCAGAUAUCGGGAGGAACACCGGUGGCGAAGGCGGUUCUCUGGGCCUUACCUGACGCUGAGGAGCGAAAGCGUGGGGAGCGAACAGG
rnacentral:rRNA from 1 species